CUGAAUAUUAUGAUAUAUUAAAUAAAUCAAAGGGACUUGAUCACUUUUCCCAAAAUACACGUAAAGCAUGAAUCCUCAUACUGGUAAGAAAAAACAGGGAGGUUUACUGUGGAGACUGAGCAAAAAUUCCACGUAAAGCAUGAAUCCUCAUACUGGUAAGAAAAAACAGAGAGGUUUACUGUGGAGACUGAGCAACCGAUAAAGCAACAGACAUAAAUUUAACGUACUCGUCAACAACUUCAUUUAGGGACAAAAUCUUUAUCCCAAAUUGU
rnacentral:lncRNA from 1 species